rnacentral:rRNA from 1 species
UACAGAGGUCUCAAGCGUUAGGCGGAAUCACUGGGCUUAAAGCGUGUGUAGGUGGAUGCCUAAGUACCUUGUGAAAUCCCACGGCUUAACCGUGGAACUGCUGGGUAUACUGGGUGUCUUGAGCCACUCAGGGGCUACCGGAACAAACGGUGGAGCGGUGAAAUGCGUAGAUAUCGAUAGAAACUCCGGUGGCGAAGGCGGCAUACUGGUCCACUUCUGACGCUGAGGCGCGAAAGCCAGGGGAGCAAACGGG